UAAAUAAAUGGGGGAAUGGCAGCUGGAUAGGAACGAGACCACCAGCAUUCAGCAGAUCGGGCAGCUGUACUGCUGUGCUCGCAGACAAGCAGACUCAUAACCAGAAGGAAAGGGUGAAGAUGGGCCGAGGGAUGUCCAAUCUCAAUGUCAUCAUGCCUGUGGGGGAAGAAGCCCUCCAGAUUGCUGAGGAACAGGGAGACCUAUCUGUAGCUGAUGGCAAGGCUGGAAUGGCAAGGCAGCAGAAUGAGAAUGGAAUACACAAGAAACGCGGUUAAGAAGCCAACUGCAACCCUAGUCUCUGUGUGCUAGUCUGUUAUUCUAGUGUGCGCUGUGUCACU